rnacentral:lncRNA from 1 species
GUGACCCCGUAAAGAGUUGGAGAGAACCAUUACUUAAAAAGAGGAGGGAGAUGCAAAGGAAAAGCGACGGACUACACCAGUGAAAAAUAGAAGCCAAACUAUACCAAAGACACAAAGCACCUUACCUCAAUGAAGAAGGAGACCCCCCAUUAAAAAACCCUCAGUCUUUAAGAGGGAACUCAACACAGGCCAAGGAUAGAUCGACUUCCUCAAGGCAACUCAAACGGCCCAAAAAAAAAAAAAGAAAGAAGAAGAAGAAAGAGAAAGAGAGACCUACAGUCAUGA